GAUGUCUGAAUUAUUUAUUUUUAGGCCAUAAUCCUGUCACCUUAGGUCGAUCGGUAUCUCAGUUUUAUAUCUGAAAGCUAAAUUACUUAGUUCUAUAAAGGUAUUGAAUUCAGUUCCUAAACUUUGUCUAGGUCACACCCCUCAAAAGGGUACUCCUGGGCCAUUAGCUCAGGUGGUUAGAGCGCACCCCUGAUAAGGGUGAGGUCCCUGGUUCAAGUCCAGGAUGGCCCAUUCGGUGUUGGGGGUAUAGCUCAGUUGGUAGAGCGCCUGCUUUGCAAGCAGGAUGUCAGCGGUUCGAGUCCGCUUACCUCCACUGAUCAACCUCCUGAUAGCGAAGCUUGCGGAGACUUUUGUUUGAUGUGAUCUAGAAUUUGUUCUUAAUGAAUGAACCUAGCUUCUUAUUAAUAAGGCUGAGAUUUUUUAGUUUGAUUGAUAGGACGCUGGGCUCGCUGCAAUAGCAAUUGCAGAGAACUUCAGUAGAACCUUGACAACUGCAUAGGAUAAGUCUGGAAAAAAUAAAGCAUCUCAUGGAUGAAUUAUUUUUUUAACCACGAUUUCAGUUUUCUGAAUAAAAUCAGAAUUGAAUUUUGGUUCAAAAUUAUAAUUUUCAAUUCUUGAGCAAGAGCCGAGACUCUAUAAAAUCACUAUCAUUGCAAUAAUAGCUUUGAAAGAUGUAUCCUUCUUUUUAUUACUUAGGUCAAUAGUUUUGGAUUUUUCU
rnacentral:tRNA from 1 species